CGCUCAUCGAGAGCGGUGGAGGGACGGGCCCUGCGAAGCCGCGGCAACCGGCGGGCGGCGGACGCCCGCGCCAGGUGCCAAUUCCCGCGGAGGAGACUCCGAGAGAUGAGCC
rnacentral:ncRNA from 2 species